GUGGAUAUUAGCCCCAAAACUCGGAAUACCCAAAGUACAAUUCACAGACAAUAUGAAGCUCAAGAAGAAGAACAAUCAAAAUGGGGAUGCUUUUGUCCUUCUUAGAAAAGAAAACAAAAUAUUCACAAGAGGAAAUACAAUGAGAAAGAGUGGAGCAGAGCCUGAAGGAAAGGCCAUCCAAAGACUGCCCUACCAGGAGAUCCAUCCCAUAUGCAACCACCAAACCCAGUCACUAUAGCUGAUGGCAAGAAGAACUUGCUGACAGGAGCGCCUCAUAUGGAUGUUUCCUGAGAGGCUCUGCCAGAGCAUUACUGGAUACAGAUCAAGAUAUUUGCAGCU
rnacentral:lncRNA from 1 species